GGGGCGGGAACAGAAGCGCCCUCCUCGGGCUCUCGGCGUGGCCGUGCUCGCGCUCCCGCCAAAAUCAAGCCCGGGACCUUUGGCGUGGCGAGUUCGCCCGCCUAAACACUGUUGGCCUCAUUCCAAAAACCAGUUUUGUUUUAUUUCUAAAUUAACGUCGGCUCUUUUUUCCCUGGCGACGUCUGGAGAAGGGCAGGAAAAUAGCUUUUAUCAGCGUGUUAUGAUGCCAUCUCUUACCAAUCUGGCUACUGGAAUCCCCGGUAGUAAAGUGAAAUACUCAAGGCUAUCCAGCACAGAGGAUGACUAUAUUGACCUUCAGUUUAAGAAAAGCCCUCCUAAGAUACCUUAUAAGGCCAUUGCACUUGCCACUGUGCUGUUUUUGAUCGGCGCCUUUCUCAUUAUCAUAGGCUCUCUCCUGCUGUCGGGCUACAUCAGCA